AUUGAACGCUGGCGGCAGGCCUAACACAUGCAAGUCGAGCGAGCGGCGGACGGGUGAGUAAUGCCUAGGAAUCUGCCUGGUAGUGGGGGAUAACUACUGGAAACGGUAGCUAAUACCGCAUACCAUCGGAUGUGCCCAGAUGGGAUUAGCUAGUAGGUGGGGUAACGGCUUACCUAGGCGACGAUCCGUAGCUGGUCUGAGAGGAUGACCAGCCACACUGGAACUGAGACACGGUCCAGACUCCUACGGGAGGCAGCAGUGGGGAAUAUUGCACAAUGGGCGCAAGCCUGAUGCAGCCAUACCGCGUGUAUGAAGAAGGCCUUCGGAUUGUAAAGUACUUUCAGCGGGGAGGCGUUACCCGCAGAAGAAGCACCGGCUAACUCCGUGCCAGCCGCCGCGGUAAUAC
rnacentral:rRNA from 1 species